rnacentral:lncRNA from 1 species
UAUUAUUUGUUCAUAUCCAAACCAUGUUCAUAUAUAAUAUAAAUUAAAGAAAAAAGUAGAAAAAAUGAUUGGAAAUUUUAAACAUAAGAUGUAAGUGAACCCACCAAUCCCGGUGAAAUCAUUUCCCUCCAAUGAUUAUAUUGAAACAUAUUCAACUUUCGACUAUUUUACAUAUUCGAUUUUAGUUUUCUCGACUUUAUAACCAGCUAGCUGGUCCUUUUCCAUAUGAUGGAAACUGGGGUGAAAUACUUCUAUUUGAUUUGAACGGCUAAAACUUCCAAAUGACAAAUACCUAUCUUAUAUUAGAUCUUGAAAACAACUUGCACAUUUAUCCCACCCAAAAAACGACUUGUAUAUACUUUUUAUAAGAAAACAGAACU